rnacentral:rRNA from 1 species
UACGGAGGAUCCAAGCGUUAUCCGGAUUUAUUGGGUUUAAAGGGUGCGUAGGUGGGUUGGUAAGUCAGUGGUGAAAUCUCCGAGCUUAACUUGGAAACUGCCAUUGAUACUAUCAGUCUUGAAUAUUGUGGAGGUCAGCGGAAUAUGUCAUGUAGCGGUGAAAUGCUUAGAUAUGACAUAGAACACCAAUUGCGAAGGCAGCUGGCUACGCAUAUAUUGACACUGAGGCACGAAAGCGUGGGGAUCAAACAGG